GACGAACGCUGGCGGCGUGCCUAAUACAUGCAAGUUGAGCGCUGAAGGUUGGUACUUGUACCGACUGGAUGAGCAGCGAACGGGUGAGUAACGCGUGGGGAAUCUGCCUUUGAGCGGGGGACAACAUUGGGAAACGAAUGCUAAUACCGCAUAAAAACUUUAAACACAAGUUUUAAGAUUGAAAGAUGCAAUUGCAUCACUCAAAGAUGAUCCCGCGUUGUAUUAGCUAGUUGGUGAGGUAAAGGCUCAACAAGGCGAAGAUACAAAGCCGAACUGAAAGGGUGGACCGCCCCAUUGGGAACGGGACACGGCCCCAAACCCUUCGGGAGGCAGCAGUAGGGAAACUUCGGCAAUGGGGGAAAGUCUGACCGGGCAACGCCGCGUGAGUGAAGGAGGGUUUCGGAUCGUAAAAAUCUGUUGGUAGGGAAGAACGUUGGUGGGAGUGGAAAGCGCAUCAAGUGACGGUAACUACCCAGAAAGGGACGGCCAACUACGUG
rnacentral:rRNA from 1 species